UCCGAAUUGGUGUAGGUGGUCAUCAUACGACCCUCUCAAUCAUUCUUAGUCUUGACUCAGAAUGAAAAGUACGGUCGAGACUCCGGUUCGAGUCCAGGAUACGGAA